rnacentral:rRNA from 1 species
CGGGACACGUGGUAUCCUGUCUGAAUAUGGGGGGACCAUCCUCCAAGGCUAAAUACUCCUGACUGACCGAUAGUGAACCAGUACCGUGAGGGAAAGGCGAAAAGAACCCCGGCGAGGGGAGUGAAAAAGAACCUGAAACCGUGUACGUACAAGCAGUGGGAGCACGCUUAGGCGUGUGACUGCGUACCUUUUGUAUAAUGGGUCAGCGACUUAUAUUCUGUAGCAAGGUUAACCGAAUAGGGGAGCCGAAGGGAAACCGAGUCUUAACUGGGCGUUAAGUUGCAGGGUAUAGACCCGAAACCCGGUGAUCUAGCCAUGGGCAGGUUGAAGGUUGGGUAACACUAACUGGAGGACCGAACCGACUAAUGUUGAAAAAUUAGCGGAUGACUUGUGGCUGGGGGUGAAAGGCCAAUCAAACCGGGAGAUAGCUGGUUCUCCCCGAAAGCUAUUUAGGUAGCGCCUCGUGAAUUCAUCUCCGGGGGUAGAGCACUGUUUCGGCAAGGGGGUCAUCCCGACUUACCAACCCGAUGCAAACUGCGAAUACCGGAGAAUGUUAUCACGGGAGACACACGGCGGGUGCUAACGUCCGUCGUGAAGAGGGAAACAACCCAGACCGCCAGCUAAGGUCCCAAAGUCAUGGUUAAGUGGGAAACGAUGUGGGAAGGCCCAGACAGCCAGGAUGUUGGCUUAGAAGCAGCCAUCAUUUAAAGAAAGCGUAAUAGCUCACUGGUCGAGUCGGCCUGCGCGGAAGAUGUAACGGGGCUAAACCAUGCACCGAAG